AGCUCCAAUAGCGUAUAUUAAAGUUGUUGCAGUUAAAAAGCUCGUAGUUGGAUUUCUGGCGGGGACCCAAGUACCCCUGCAGGGUGUGCUCGGGCCCGGCCAUCCUUCUGUCAACCCUCACGGUCGUUUACUCGUCCGAGUUGGUGAUCAGAUAAUUUACCUUGAGAAAAUUAGAGUGUUUCAGGCAGGCUUAGCCGGAAUACAUUAGCAUGGAAUAAUGGAAUAGGACUGAUGUCUCGUUGUUGGUUACGCGGACAACAGUAAUGAUUAAUAGGGACAGUUGGGGGCAUUAGUAUUUAUUAGCUAGAGGUGGAAUUCUCUAAUUUGAUAAAGACUAACUUAUGCGAAAGCAUUUGCCAAGGAUGUUU
rnacentral:rRNA from 1 species